AUCAGAAACAGAAGGCUUUGAGCUUUUUCUUGGUUAUUUGUAUUCAACUCUACUGGAAUAUUAAUCUCUUUGGAAAAUAUUAUUCUUAUGCUUUAUAAGUUUUUUUUGGCUAAUCAUAAUUAAUGUAGAAUGCAUGCUUGACACUCAAGAAUAAUACACACAUACAUCACAAACGGAAUGCUCAGUGCUUUUUUUUUUCAUUUUCCUAUUGACCUUCUUGUAUAGGCGUAUACAAUAAAAAUCAAGAAUUUUAGUUAUGAACGAUUAUGUAUUUUAACAUAUUCAUUGACUCAUGAUAUUUUGAGUCACGCACUAAGUCGAAUAUUUCUUGUCUUUCACAAAAAAAUGUCAUUCUACCAUUAUUUUUUGUUUCAAAAAUGUCAUUUUUUUGUCACUGCAAGAAAAAAUAUCAAUAGAUUUUAUUUAAAUCUUUUUCAUUUAAAUAAUUAUUCAUUUUUAAAUGUACAUUAAAUAUUUUAUCAUUUUCUUAAUCCGUAACGUUCUUUGCGAAGCGGAAAGAGUAUACAAAUUAUGACUAAACCGAUAUUUCUUCUUUUUUUUAUUGUAUAAUUAAAUUGUUUUCGUCCACAAUUAAUUGAUGAACCUGGAUAGUCAAAACUCCAAAAUGUACAUUUGGCAGCUAACUCAUCAGAAAUUAAACAUGUAAUAUUUGACUAAGCAGGAAUUAAACAUGUAAUAUUGAUUCAGCAGAUAUUAUAUGAUAUUUGACUCUUAAUUUCAGCUUAAAUUUAAUAAUUCAAAUAUGUUAUUUGAAAGAAAUAUUUUUUUUUAGGAUAAAAUAGGCACAAUAACAAAAUUCGUAUAAGAAAAAGCAGGACGGAAAUUGUUGAAGUUGGGACUAGCUUUGUUUUCCUUCAAUGAGGAUUUUCCAUGUUCACAGUAAAUAUUUCAAAUGCCUUCGGAAACACAUGGAUAAGAAGGUUAUCAUGAUCAAAAUAUGGCUUUGGAAAAGCUACAAAUGGAUAAGCAUGUAAUUUGUUCUAUCAUGAUCUAGCCAUGCUCUGUCUAACGAUCUGAUGCUUGUUAAAUGGUGCAUUUAUAUAUAAGCAACUGAAUUUACUUAUGUGAUGUGUGUUUCAUCUUUUGUUUUAGAACUUGAUUUUAGGUGCUUUACAUGAACACCUUGCUGAUUCGCCAAAUGGUCAUGGGCAGCUUAGUGUCAAUAACAUCUUACAUAGUGAAACAUUCAAACAACAACCUAAAGAUUACAUUUCUGGAUGGUCUUGGGAAUUUACUUGGACUGAUAAUUGCAAUGAUGUUGAACAACAUUGUAACUCACAAUUUCAUUGUAAGUACUUUUGUGUAUAACAAUUAUUGUUCCGAAACGUAAUAGAAACAUUAAAUUUGAUAUGAAAUUUUUUGCUUUAUAAUAACAACUAAAUUAUUUUUCCAAGAUGAAAUGCGAUUAUUGUUCCAAAAUAAAGUAAACAUUAAAUUAGAAAGAAAAAAGAAGUGAGGUUUCUCUCUCUUAUCUUUCCAUGUAUCUUUUCGAGAGAAGACCUCCGCUGCUCCUUUCUGGCGAUGUCAGCCCUUGGCUGGGCCCCCUCUCUGGCAUCGGUGGCUCCCUUAGCACUGCAUGGCCAGUUUUUGGCUCUGGUGUCCCAUCUUUCUCUCUGGUAGGACACCGACUCUCGGCUUCGUCGUCUUCACAUUUUUCUCCGGCAAAGACGGUGGCUUUCUCUCCGGAUUUAUGUGGAUUGUCCUCUUCUCUACUUUGGUUAGCCUAUGUUUCAGCUGAGCUUCGACUUGAAGCUUUGAUUAUAAGGGGAGAUCUUUUGGCUUGAGCUUAGGCAUUUUCAUGGCUCUGAUGGAAGGAUCUUCUUUUGACUUUAGUCGAUUUGAUGUUCUCCGGAUUUUGGUGCUCCACCGUUUUGGCUUCGACAUCUUGCUCGUUGUAUUGCUAAAGUCGUUCAACGGUCUCUUUUUCUUCGACGACUUGUUUCCGUUGUGUCCGGUGGAUCGUCGAGAAGUCGGUCCGGUGACGAUUUUUUCUGUGAAGACGGUGACCGAUCUGAACACACGUGUUCCUCCUUUGCUGAGUGUCUUCACAAGUGUCCUUAACGUGUAUUUGUUGGCAGUUGUCUUCUUUUGUGCUAUUUUGGUAUGGGUUCUUUUUCGGCCUCUUUGUUUUUAGUUUGUUCUAAUUUUUAGCUGGGCCGGUCAGACUUCAUCUUUGUAAUUUUGGACUUUGUACAUAAUAAAGAUGGCAAAUGUAUAAAAA